CGUUUUCCUGUUAAUGUAAAUCAACGUUCACCAUAAAGUCUAAAAACCAUUCUUGGAAGCAGUCAUGACUUAAGUUCUGACAACUUCACCACAUUCUGCCACUUCCCUAUUCGCUCUUACCUCCUCCCACUCCUCACGAAGCACUGAGCAGAUAACAUCCUCCUCAAAUGUAAGUAAUUAUUAAUAUAAUGUAGUUCGAAUGACGUCGUCUACUCAUACCGAAGGAUUGCCUAUUUAUUUGUGUUAAUUUUUUAAAGCUGAAACAAUGCAAAUUACAUAUUAAAAAAGGCUUCUACUUGAGAACAGUGGUUCCGUCCCGGUGCACGCACUCUCGUACUCGCGCAUCCGCGCUAGCUAGUCAUGACUAGUCGAUCCUUUGAGUUUUUGUGUGUUAUUUACUUUGUUUAAAAAAUUAUUUACUUUGUGUAAAAAAAUUAUUUUGUGUUUUUGUGUCUCAUUACUUUGCUAGGUAGUCGUUGUAGGAUCGACUAGUCACGACUAGCUAGCGCGGAUGCGCGACUAUGCGAGUGCGCGCACCGAGACCACUGUUCUCAAGUAGUACCGACAUUGGCGAUCCUUACAUCGAAGGGUCGCCUCGACAUUGCUGGCAUAAUUUCGUUAUAUCUAUACUCCACGACCCACGGAAACACCUGAAGUGAAAUGUUUUGAUUUUUGUCGAGUUAUAUCGAAAGAAUGCCGUGCUAUUAUCUGGUAUUUUCUAAAGAAUUUGUUCCAAUAUUGAAAUAGUAGAUAUUAGUGCUAACCAUCAGCAUGUGCUAUUACUAUUUUUUAUAACUUGCACUGUUUUGGCUUACAUACACACAUACACACACACACUUAUAUCAGACGAUGCAUUAUAAAAAUUAUAGAACUCUAAAAUAUUUGUUUUUGAUGAGUUCUGUUAGACAGAAGAAACUGAAGAAAAAGAAAAAAAUUACGUAAAGAUGUUUUAAUAGAUAUACUGUAUGUUGUCAUCGUUCUGAGUUCAAAUUCCGCCGAGGUCGACUUUGCCUUUCAUCCUUUCGGAGUCGAUAAAUAAAGUACCAGUUUCGCACAGGAGUCGAUGUAAUCGACUUAAUCCCUUUGUCUGUCCUUGUUUGUCCCCUCUAUGUUUAGCCCCUUGUGGGCACUAAAGAAAUAUAUAUUCAUACUAUCCUCUUAUUAUUUCAGAAUAUCAGCUGACAGUGGAAUAAAAGAAUUUUUCACUUGAAGUGCAUCAAUAUUUAUUUGAGAGAUUAAAAG
rnacentral:lncRNA from 1 species